rnacentral:misc_RNA from 1 species
UGAAGCACCCAUAUGUUUCUCUAGAAAAUCAAUAUUUGACUUCUCGCCCCAUCCAUUAUUGACGAACAAGGGGAAAGCAUUCCAUAUUGCUGAAAGGGUUCCUAACGUUCCUGCUUGCAUAAGGAAAAUUGAGACUCCUUUGCGCUUCACAUAUUCUAACUCAGCUUGAGACUCCCAUUCUUUGAUUUGAACAGUAUGUUCACGAGAUAAAGCGUAGUAAUCCCAUGUCACGCGAUAUGGGGUCGCAAAGAUGUAAAGGUCCAUACAAGAAUAACUGUGUGCAUUGUUGACCUUAAUAUGGAUAGUGCCACCGCCAUAUCGACUUCCAGUUUUG